rnacentral:rRNA from 1 species
GAUGAACGCUGGCGGCGUGCUUAACACAUGCAAGUCGAACGUGAUCCAUUAGCAAUAGUGGUGAAAGUGGCGAACGGGUGAGUAACACGUAGGUAACCUGCCCUGAAGCGGGGGAUAACGAUUGGAAACGGUCGCUAAUACCGCAUGAGUCCAUCGAAGCGGGAGUGAGAUGGAGAAAACUGAGGUGCUUCAGGAGGGGCCUGCGUCCGAUUAGCUAGUUGGUGAGGUAACGGCUCACCAAGGCGACGAUCGGUAGCUGGUCUGAGAGGACGAUCAGCCACACGGGAACUGAGACACGGUCCCGACUCCUACGGGGGGCAGCAGUGAGGAAUAUUGGGCAAUGGGCGGAAGCCUGACCCAGCAACGCCGCGUGAAGGAUGAAGGCCUUCGGGUUGUAAACUUCUUUUAUGGGGGAAGAG